UACGUAGGCAGCAAACGUUGUUCGGAAUUAUUGGGCGUAAAGAGUGUGUAGGCGGUUGCGUGUGUCUGGUGUGAAAUUUCCUGGCUCAACUGGGAGGGUGGGCCGGAAACUGCGCGGCUAGAGUACUGGAGAGGAUGGCGGAAUUCCUGGUGUAGCGGUGAAAUGCGUAGAUAUCAGGAGGAACACCUGUGGUGUAGACGGCUAUCUGGACAGUCACUGAAGCUGAGACACGAAAGCGUGGGGAGCAAACAGG
rnacentral:rRNA from 1 species